rnacentral:rRNA from 1 species
AACGGCCGCGGUAUCCUAACCGUGCAAAGGUAGCGCAAUCACUUGUCUCCUAAAUAGAGACCCGUAUGAAUGGCUAAAUGAGGAUUAACCUGUCUCCUUAGACCAAUCAGUGAAACUGAUCCGCCAGUACAAAAGCUGGCAUAACCCCAUAAGACGAGAAGACCCUGUGGAGCUUUAGACUAACCAGCCAAACCGGGCCCCACCACCCCCCUCUAAUGGCUGAGCAUCUUAAGUUGGGGCGACUUCGGAGCAAAACAAAACCUCCGAGCAAUAGAACAUCAAUCUCCCCGAGGCAGACACGCCAAAGCAAAAAUUGACCCAGUACUACUGACCAUCGAACCAAGUUACCCCAGGGAUAACAGCGCAAUCUUCUUCAAGAGUCCAUAUCGACAAGAAGGUUUACGACCUCGAUGUUGGAUCAGGACACCCAAAUGGUGCAGCCGCUAUUAAUGGUUCGUUUGUUCAACGAUUAACAGUCCUACGUGAUCUGAGUUCAGAC